ncrna:unclassified sequences uup RNA
AUUGGAUGCGCUCCGGACAAAUGGAUAAGAUGAAGCAUUGUACGGAGU